rnacentral:sRNA from 1 species
GGAGAUAUGGAUGUGAGGCAAGAAGAAAUUCUAGAUUGAAGAAUAUCCGUUGGAAGUCCAGUUAUAGUUUCUUGAAAGGAAGACGUAUAGUACUGGUGGAAAUGAUUUGCAAUUUCAGAAUUAUUAAAAACAGUGGUGUUAUUGACCUGCAAUUGCUGGCAGAACGGGGAUUUCUUUCUGCCGCUGAACUUAUAAAUCUCUUUAAAAGCAGAUGGGCCAGGUUUAAUAUCUUGAAGACGAUUGUUGAAUGUGUCAGCUUGUUCGAUGCUUAUUGAUUCUUUUAUUACUACUUUCAGAAGCUGAAUUUGUUUGGAUAAUAUGCGGUAAUCGCUGCUCAUUCUAUUUCCUGUUCUAUGAAAUAUCUUUUUUAAUUCUUUCUGCCAUUGAUGUUUUACUUUGUAAAGCCGUUUGGAUCUCUCAGAGAGAGGAAAGAGGCCGUUGUUGAUUGUGAUUAUCUGUGAGUGGGCAUCGUGGAUUGAGUUGAAACAGCUGUUGAAGGAGUCAACUAAUCCAUCAAUAUCUUCAUUACUAAGAUUAGUUUCUGCUGAAGGAAAUAUAUGAAGGAGGAGCAUUUAAAAUCAAGUCGGUACAAUCCAUUUUUAUUGACAUUUUUAACGGGAAAUGGUCCGAAAAUGAUGGUAAUGAGGAAAUUACGAAGUUUGGUGUUAUGUUGUCCAACAGAUUGGAGCUGACAAGAAAAUGAUCCAAAUAGGAAGGGCCAUUCGGAUAUGACGGUGACACAUCGCAUACUCGAACUACGUCUAAUAUGUUUGUUUGCAGCCAAGCUUUCAAAGAUUUUCCGUUGGUAUUCUCUGCAGAGUCACCCCAGUCUGGGUUUCUUGAAUUUAAAUCCCCACCAAAAAUAAAGCCGUCAUAACUUGCACACACUUGCAUGAGUUUAUCUAGAUCAGCUUCCAGCUGCUGAGCAGGAUAAUUGCAAGGGACGUAUAAUGAUCCCAACGCGAUUUUUUUUCGAACUGAAUUUUGUAGACAUUCAAUUUGAAUCAUGCAUGUUUUUACGCCGACAUCACUGAUAACAAUUUUUGUGUGCAAUAUGGACUUUUUUAUUAAAACGGCUACGCCAAUGGGUGGCACUCUUGGAUAAAUCCCACAUCGAUGUUAUUGGCCGAAAGCGUUCUUUGCAGGUCUAUUUGUCUACUUUUGUCAUUAAUAGAUCUAACAUUGAAUGUCAAUAAAUUAAGCAUUCUAUGGAUCAUA